rnacentral:rRNA from 1 species
UACGUAGGACGCAAGCGUUGGCCGGAAUUAUUGGGCGUAAAGAGCUCGUAGGCGGCUUGUCACGUCGGAUGUGAAAGCCCGGGGCUUAACUCCGGGUCUGCAUUGGAUACGGGCUAGCUAGAGUGUGGUAGGGGAGAUCGGAAUUCCUGGUGUAGCGGUGAAAUGCGCAGAUAUCAGGAGGAACACCGGUGGCGAAGGCGGAUCUCUGGGCCAUUACUGACGCUGAGGAGCGAAAGCGUGGGGAGCGAACAGG